CCCUUAGAUGUUCUGGGCCGCACGCGCGCUACACUGAUGCAUUCAACGAGUCUAAAACCUGCUCUGAUAGGGGUGGGUAAUCUUUUGAAUGUGCAUCGUGAUUGGGAUAGAUGAUUGCAAUUUUUCAUCUUCAACGAGGAAUGCCUAGUAAACGCAAGUCAUCAACUUGCAUUGAUUACGUCCCUGCCCUUUGUACACACCGCCCGUCGCACCUACCGAUUGAAUGGUCCGGUGAAGCCUCCGGAUUGGCGCGCACCUCGGUGCCGCCGAGAAGUUGGCUAAACCUUACCAUUUAGAGGAAGGUGAAGUCGUAACA
rnacentral:rRNA from 1 species